GACGUAGGGCGCGAGCGUUGUCCGGAUUUAUUGGGCGUAAAGAGCUCGUAGGCGGCUUGUCGCGUCGACUGUGAAAGCCCGCGGCUCAACCGCGGGUCUGCAGUCGAUACGGGCAGGCUAGAGUUCGGUAGGGGAGACUGGAAUUCCUGGUGUAGCGGUGAAAUGCGUAGAUAUCUGGAGGAACACCGGUGGCGAAGGCGGCAUCCUGGACCGGCAUUGACGCUGAGGCGCGAAAGCCAGGGGAGCAAACGGG
rnacentral:rRNA from 1 species